GUUAAAGCUGAGGACAGUGCUAAGCGCAAGUCUUUCAAAACAAAAUGGAAGAAACAAGUCAUCCACAGUUUCUCAGUAGCAGCUGGAAACAACAGACACCACCAUUCAAUAACACCACCACUCUCAGGACUCAGGCAAGGCUGGAUCAGAUGUUAACCUGGAACCAAGGGCCUGGCCUGUCUCUGAUGCCCGAGUUCCUGUCUUGCUGUCAGUCUCAUUUCUGUUACGCAGACAGUUCAUCCCAUUGGAAUCAAUAG
rnacentral:lncRNA from 1 species